rnacentral:rRNA from 1 species
AUUGAACGCUGGCGGCAUGCUUUACACAUGCAAGUCGAACGGUAACAGGUUAAGCUGACGAGUGGCGAACGGGUGAGUAAUGCAUCGGAACGUGCCCGAUCGUGGGGGAUAACGCAGCGAAAGCUGCGCUAAUACCGCAUACGAUCUGAGGAUGAAAGCGGGGGACCGUAAGGCCUCGCGCGAUCGGAGCGGCCGAUGUCAGAUUAGGUAGUUGGUGGGGUAAAGGCUCACCAAGCCAACGAUCUGUAGCUGGUCUGAGAGGACGACCAGCCACACUGGGACUGAGACACGGCCCAGACUCCUACGGGAGGCAGCAGUGGGGAAUUCUGGACAAUGGGCGAAAGCCUGAUCCAGCAAUGCCGCGUGCAGGAGGAAGGCCUUCGGGUUGUAAACUGCUUUUGUACGGAGCGAAAAGGCUCUCUCUAAUACAGGGGGCUCAUGACGGUACCGUAAGAAUAAGCACCGGCUAACUACGUGCCAGCAGCCGCCGUAA